GGGGUCAGUAGGUUGGUCGUGCCACCGGUACGUACUGGUCUCACUGAUUCCUCCUUCCUGAAGAACCGUAAUGCCAUUAAUUUGGUGUUGCGGGGAAACAGGACUGUUACUUUGAAAAAAUUAGAGUGUUUAAAGCAAGCUAACGCUUGAAUACAUUAGCAUGGAAUAAUGGAAUAGGACGAUCGAUCCUAUUUUGUUGGUUUCUAGGAUUGACGUA
rnacentral:rRNA from 1 species